AGUUAAUGAGCUUGUUAAGCAUAUAACUUGAAAUUAUAAGAAAGAGAAAAUCUCUAUUAACUU
rnacentral:tRNA from 1 species